rnacentral:rRNA from 1 species
UACGAAGGGGGGCUAGCGUUGCUCGGAAUCACUGGGCGUAAAGCGCACGUAGGCGGACUCUUAAGUCGGUGGUGAAAUCCUGGAGCUCAACUCCAGAACUGCCUUCGAUACUGAGAGUCUCGAGUCCGGGAGAGGUGAGUGGAACUGCGAGUGUAGAGGUGAAAUUCGUAGAUAUUCGCAAGAACACCAGUGGCGAAGGCGGCUCACUGGCCCCGGUACUGACGCUGAGGUGCGAAAGCGUGGGGAGCAAACAGGG